GAUGAACGCUGGCGGCGUGCCUAAUACAUGCAAGUCGAGCGAACACAUGAGGAGCUUGCUCCUCUGACGUUAGCGGCGGACGGGUGAGUAACACGUGGAUAACCUACCUAUAAGACUGGGAUAACUUCGGGAAACCGGAGCUAAUACCGGAUAAUAUAUUGAACCGCAUGGUUCAAUAGUGAAAGACGGUUUUGCUGUCACUUAUAGAUGGAUCCGCGCCGCAUUAGCUAGUUGGUAAGGUAACGGCUUACCAAGGCAACGAUGCGUAGCCGACCUGAGAGGGUGAUCGGCCACACUGGAACUGAGACACGGUCCAGACUCCUACGGGAGGCAGCAGUAGGGAAUCUUCCGCAAUGGGCGAAAGCCUGACGGAGCAACGCCGCGUGAGUGAUGAAGGUCUUCGGAUCGUAAAACUCUGUUAUUAGGGAAGAACAAAUGUGUAAGUAACUAUGCACGUCUUGACGGUACCUAAUCAGAAAGCCACGGCUAACUACGUG
rnacentral:rRNA from 1 species